UAGGGAAUCUUCGGCAAUGGACGGAAGUCUGACCGAGCAACGCCGCGUGAGUGAAGAAGGUUUUCGGAUCGUAAAGCUCUGUUGUAAGAGAAGAACGAGUGUGAGAGUGGAAAGUUCACACUGUGACGGUAUCUUACCAGAAAGGGACGGCUAACUACGUGCCAGCAGCCGCGGUAAUACGUAGGUCCCGAGCGUUGUCUGGAUUUAUUGGGCGUAAAGCGAGCGCAGGCGGUUAGAUAAGUCUGAAGUUAAAGGCUGUGGCUUAACCAUAGUAGGCUUUGGAAACUGUUUAACUUGAGUGCAAGAGGGGAGAGUGGAAUUCCAUGUGUAGCGGUGAAAUGCGUAGAUAUAUGGAGGAACACCGGUGGCGAAAGCGGCUCUCUGGCUUGUAACUGACGCUGAGGCUCGAAAGCGUGGGGAGCAAACAGGAUUAGAUACCCUGGUAGUCCACGCUGUAAACGAUGAGUGCUAGGUGUUAGACCCUUUCCGGGGUUUAGUGCCGUAGCUAACGCAUUAAGCACUCCGCCUGGGGAGUACGACCGCAAGGUU
rnacentral:rRNA from 1 species